AUGACAACACUAGAAGGUCAAAAUUCCCAGCAGAUUGUCCAAGUAUUCCAAAGUUGCUUAGGCAGAAGAGACAUGAUGGGUCUUCCUCGAAUAAUUCAGCCUCAUUGGGAAAAAAAGUACAUUUACAACAACUAUUAAGCAGAAAAUGGUACCUUCAAUCCGGCACCGUGCAGGAUUAAAUGAACAGCGGUACAUUGUCCAAAAAAGGUCUACAGCAACCUGCGACAUGGUCGGGGUGGCACAGUUUGCGAGCAGUAGAGUUACUGCCUUAUAGCACCAGAGACUCGGGUUCGAUCCUGACUAUGGGUGCUGAAUGUACAGAGCUUGUACGUUCUCCCCGUGACCUGCGUGGGUUUUCUCCGGGUACUCCGGUUUCCUCCCACACUCCAAAGACGUACAGUUUACAGGAGCGUCUGAAGCUGAGGCAUUACUUCUGGUGGAUAGAAUAGUCAUGUCACUAUGGAACUCAACAUUUGCUGACCAAUAUUCGGUCAGGUACAGCACACCAAGAAGUCAGUUAAACAUUCUCUAAUUUGAGAGAGGAAGGAGUAGAGACUUCCUUUAUUUUCUUUUUUAUAAACCAUAUAAAUAAUAAGCACAAAUAUAAAGAAUGUAGCUAGAAUUUGCACACAAAAUAAACAACUGUAUGAAAUCCUCCCAGAUAACCUCUGAAAAGUUCAUCUUAAUGGACCGCCAUGAUAUUUCAAUAAUCAAUACCCUUGCUUCCUCUCUGUGCAAGCCUGGUAACUUAAUCCCUCUUAUCAUUAAAUCAUGCCCAUUUUGGCUCGUAUGCUUUCACUCAUAAAAACCGCACUUUUCCAGUGUUCAUUUUGCUUCGGCCUCUUAAGAUGCCAGAGUACAUCUUUAGCUUACUGUUGUUUCAGACUGUUUCACCUGUGUGACCUUUAAAUAUGCAAAUGUUUCUCGUUUAAAAUUGUUCCUGUUUAUACUAGGUGCCAGGCUUAAUAUUAUAUCCAACCAUACGAUUAUCGUAUCAUACCACAUAUUUAAUCUUAAUUUUAUGAAGGGAUUGUCUUUAUGGAAAAAUGUUUGACAAAGCAUUUUCUGGUUCAAGGUGGGGGAAAAGCUAAAACACCGAUGCAACAUUUCUAUCACAAUGCUAUUAUAUACACACACACACACACACACACACACACACACACACACACACACACACACACACACAC